GUCCGCCAGGCAGCACGAAGCGGUUGUCGUGGAUCGUUCUGCGGGCCUUUUUGGGGUGUUUUUCGUCUCCCCGGAUGGCCAGUGCCCUCAGGCCGUCGUACAGCAGAACACCUGAAGCGACGCGUUGAUCCUGUGAGCCGUUCUGCUGUUACGUUUGUUCUGUGUUCCUCUCAUGUACUUAAUGGCCUCAUUUUUGUUAAGCUGUUUGUGGACUUCGGCUCCCUUUACUCAGCGUUCGUCACAUCACCUUUGUUUUCAUUCCGCCUUAGGCUUCUUAGCACUGUAUGGAGCCAAAAAUACAGCCCCACAGUCACUGUGUGAUCACUUCCAGCUGUAAGACAGACACUGCAGAAUCUUUAUUGCAGGCCAGGUGAAUAAUUAAGAUUUACAUUAAGCCUUCCAGCCAGCAGGGCUGCAGAAUCUUUUACCCGUUACCAGAGUUUACCUACAGGUGAAACAGGUGCCCUUCUGCAGGAAACAAGCAGCAGCCAUUGGCAUUUCACCUCAUGAAGCCAUGAAGGACAGCAAGUAAUGUGUUUGGUCUGUUUGAAGUCAUGGAAGAUGAAUUAAAGGAAAAUUAUUCAUUUUGCAGCUGAGCCAAGGUGUGUUAAUGCUCAUCUUUCACCACAUACUUCUGCAGGCCUCAUCGUUGCUUGUAGUUCAUUAGGAAGUUUUAUAGCCACGAAUUACUUAAUAUUACAGCUGAAAUAUACAUAGAAAUUAUAGUCCUGUCAGUUUCUGGAAGUCUGUGCAGUGAGAACUGGUGAUUUAUUUCGUAUCUUGACGAGUUUCAAUCAGCUAGAAGUAGUAUUUCUAAAUGCUUAAAAAUAAGCUCGAAUCACUGUUUUUAAACUGAUUUACUGACUUCUGCCUUCUCUGAGAGCUCCCUUUGAAUCUCCUGUUCUGAGUUUCCAGCACUCAGCUGUGGUUGUUUUUACUGCCACGCUUUUCAUAGUGUUUACACCUACUGACCGCUUGUUGACGAUCAGAAAUCACGUCGGGCUCCUCCUUUUCCACUCACCUAUCGCUGGGCUUUGUUUUGAGUUAUUUUGGUAUCUUAAAAGCCCUGUGUUGACUCCAAUUAAAUGUGAAAGCUAUUGUGUACAUCUGAGUGGGAGUCAGUGUUCUGUCCCUGUUUGCUGUGCCUGAUGCAUCAGAGAGCACACACCCCACGUCACUGACAGUUUUGCAAUAGUGGGCCCUUGAGAGAGCUUGUGUUUCAUACAGCAUGUUACUGUGAAUGUAUGGAUGUGCUGCUGCUAUUUAACCAGCACUGACGCAUACAAAAAGACUGCGGAGCUGCUUGAUAAGCUCACUGAUGCAGAGUUUUUGGUGUGGAGCAUGCCCAAACCCAGACUGAUACAGUCCUCCCUCUCUUCUCGCUGCCUUGCCAGCAAUGCCCAGUACUUCAGAUGGUUGAAUAGAGUAUUGUAAGGAGUGCCAUGUGCUGUCUGUAGAGGCUGCUCAUCUGAGAUGUGGAAAAUGGAGACUACUGCCAUAUGUGGCAGUAAUGAGAAUUAUCUCACAGAUCUAUGUGAAGUUCUCUUCUUUAUUGUCAGAUUACUGUUUCUUUCAAUUUCUCCUUCUCAGUUUAUUUUGCCACAAUAACUGCGUUCUGGAUCAGAGGCAGACUGAGGCUGCAGUCCUUGCUGCAGUGCUGGUAAGGCAGAGAAAAAAGUGAGAAAAAUAUGUGGAUGAGGAGGAAGUCAGAAAUACAGAUUCAAAGGAGCAGAGACAUAAGAUACAGUAGUGAAUAUGCGACAGGCUUGUCAGGUCACUGUAAGCAUAAGUGCACUGUAAGUGUAAUUGGAGGACUUAAAAAGAAUUCUGUUCCUGCAGCUUAUGUUUGGUCCUCUUGAUUUUCUACCUACCUUGGAAACCACUGUGAGCUACCUAAAAACACUGGCUUGUCUUUGUUACAUAAAAUAUUGCCUGCUUGCAGCCAGAAACCUGAGACCGGAGUCUGCAAAUACGGAAUGCUCCUGAAUGACUUCUCUGGAAGUGUUUUUGGUUGCUGUGGUGAUUAUCCAUCUGUUUAAAUACUUUAUAUGGGAGAUUCUAAACUCAUUUGUUGUGGAGAUUUUCUUAAGUUGUGAGAAAAACAGCAUUAAUGCUCUAUUACCCCUGUGAAUUUUGUUUUCCUUGACAGUUGCCUUCUCCAUGGCACAGCACUGCAAAUCCACUUCGCCUUUCAAAUACCUCAGGAAAUGAGGUGACGUAUCUGCAUUAUUUCCAUUCACACCCAUGUUGUGUUGUUUUUAUCUUGUCUUUCUGUAGACAGUGUUUUGAGCUUUCUAGUUAAUACCAGCUUAUAAAAGAAAACAACACAGAAAACGAGCAACUUCAUAAAAGAUAUUUGUUUCAUUUUAAAAAAGACUCUCAGAAGAAAGAAAAAAUACUGCAUUCAAACUACCACCUUAAAGCAGCGUAAACGUUCUCGCUUAUAAUAAAAGUAAGAAUUGCUCGACCUAUACUGUCCAAAAAGUUCUUGUACCUUUAAACCACCCAUUAAAAGUUUUGGCUUUUUUUUUUUUUUACUUGCUUCUGAGGCAGCUUUUGAAAUUUCCACCCCUCAGUGGCAGCACGCGGCAUUCCCGUUCUAUGUCACUUGGGACUUAGAUGUACUAGCAUGUAUUUUUUGUGUCAGGGGUUACAGUGUUUGUUUUUAUGACUAAUAAUGUGGACCUUGGGAGCCAGAUAUCUAAGCGCCGUUGAGGAAAUAUCUAAACCUCUGUUAAAGUGUAAUCCCUUUCAAGGCAUGUCUAUGCAGGAGAGUAAAGACAUCGGAAAGCUCUCAACUGCCCAUGCUCCAAACUGCCUUGGAAGCAAGCCAGUUCCAGCAUAGAAGUCCUUUACCUUAACUCUGCGCCUCUACUAAUGGUCCCUGUGACAUUCCUCUGGUCAGCAGGACAGAGGACUUUUGAAAGGCUGGAAGCGGAGAACAAGAUACUGUUGUUGCUGAUAGCAGAUAGUCUUUGUGCCACCUUUGGCUCUGAGCUGUGUGAAUUACUGACAUGGGAAUUUAAGAUGUCAUUUAUCAAAAAUCACAUACGUUUUCGUACGUGCAUACCUGUAUCCAAGGUGGGGAAACUACUUAACUGCAGUCUGAAUUUUCCAGUCAGUAUACAAAGUAAUUCACUUCUACUGCCACUAGAGGUAUAACAUUCACUUGAGCAAAUACCAAAGGAAACAUUUGGUUGGAAGCCUUGCCCAUAUUAAUAUUUCAUUUUUCAAAUAAUGCUUUUGAUCUGGAUUUUUUUGUUUUGUUUUGUUUUGGAGGCCUCAUCCUACUUUGCUUUUUCCUGUUGAGAACUCUUUCUUUUACUGAACUAAAGCUAACUAUUUGUGAGAUGGAAGGCCACUUUGUGAUUAGAGGGUGCAGAACUGAGUGCUUAUUUAAGCUGCAUAAAAAGCUAAAUUAGAAUGUCAGUCACCAUAUUGGUCACCUGUGACUGGCUCACAUGCAAGCUUGUACCAGCACAUUUGUAAAUCUUCUUUCACAUUGCUUGUUGUUCUCCUGGGUACUUAUGUUUAUUCUGAAAUGCAAACAUAAAAGAAUAAGAUUUGAAAUUAAUUUCUUUUGUAUCUAUUAUGACCAGCUUUCGUUUAGAUAGAAUCUCCCUUUUGAAACUCAUUAAAACAUCACGAAAGUCCCAUGUCUCUGCCAGGGCUGGCAGGAGGAUUGUGGCCUACCCUGGGAUUUAAUCACAGCUCUGCAGUAUGCGUACUGCUGGAGUGCAGGGCAGGGGAUGGUUCUGAACCGAGCUGUGGGGGUUUCUGUGAGAAAGCAGAGGUUGACUAAAUGAGGACUAACUGCAGCCCUGCUGGUGCACAGCCUCUAACUGUUUGAAGUUGGUAGCCUUUCUUUCAGAGCUUCCGACACACUCAGCAGCAGCCUGCCAGUGCCGUGCUGCAUGCUCACAGGCUGGAAGCAGUGAGUUGCUGGGGGAACUGCCCGCUGUGCCCCUGCACUGCGCAGGCCCUAGCAGCUCUCCUGCUGCAACCUGGCAUUUCCACAUGCUGCAUUGCACCUCCUCCUCACUUUUGCCCGAUGAGCACACUGAUGGCAGCUAAGAAAGAUGAGAGAAUGACAGCUUGAGAGUGAGUGUGGUGAAAGCUGGGUGCCUUGAGCUCUAGCUUGAGCUGCAGUUCCCUUCCAUCGCAGCAAACCCACAAGAGUCUUUCUGCCAUGUUCUCCUUUCAGGACUUGCCCACCUGACUCCUGGCUCAGCAAUGAGAAAUGGAAGUACAGGAAGUCCCAUGGUGAAUGCUGGAGGGAGAGAGCUCUCUUAAGAGUGAAGUUUAACAGCUAAGGGAACAGUUACAUAAAAAGGAUGAAUGAGCAACAACAAAAGAGGAAGGCUGGGAUCAUAUAAUCUGAAAACUGGAACCACCAUUUAUGAUUUCCUAUUUAGAUAUAUAAGGUGACUGUGAGUGCUUGCCACAUGGUUCAGAAGGGGCUGUGUGACACAUUGGCAGAAGAAGCCUGUCCCCUUCCAUUGUCUGGCUCAAGAAUGGGUAACUGCUGAGGGAUAAGAAAGCAGCUAGGGGAGAAAACAAAGGAACAGAUGAAGCAAUACAGAAGUGUUGAGAAGAAUGGAACAUUGUUAGAGCUAAAACCCUGUUAGAUGCCACAGCUUAGAUGUUAUGCUGUGUUAGGACAAGGAACAGAAAAAGAGUAACUUAUUGGUGCAGCAGGAAAAUAUGCAAUUGAUCUGUUGGAUCAUUCUUACAAAAUAAUGCUUCCUUCUGUUUGACAGUAUCUACAUAGGAGUGAUUUCAAAAUAUUUAAUUGUAGGAGAGCUUAAUCUGCAGUAGCUGUUCUGAUUAAUUUCCCCUUAGAGACAAUUUCUUUAACGAUCAGAGCUAAAGGAAUUAAAAUGAGUGUAAUUUCAAUAGAAAAUUAAGAAUACUUUGAACUUUAUAGAUGUAACAAAAGUCUGUCACCAUAGCUGCCAAGCAGUCAGCACUGAAAAACACAAAUUCCGUAGAGUGGUAGUAGUAAAGAACUACUCUCUAUUACUGCAUUCAUGCACAUUAGCAACUGUGGUGCCCAUUAUUUUCAGUAAUAAUAAUUAAAAAAAAAAAAAGCCUCAUUAAACUAAAUAAGUGACG
ensembl:lncRNA